AUUGAACGCUGGCGGCAGGCCUAACACAUGCAAGUCGAGCGGAGCGGCGGACGGGUGAGUAAUGCCUAGGAAUCUGCCUGGUAGUGGGGGAUAACGUCCGGAAACGGGCGCUAAUACCGCAUACCAUCAGAUGAACCCAUAUGGGAUUAGCUGGUAGGUGAGGUAACGGCUCACCUAGGCGACGAUCCCUAGCUGGUCUGAGAGGAUGAUCAGUCAAACUGGAACUGAGACACGGUCCAGACUCCUACGGGAGGCAGCAGUGGGGAAUAUUGGACAAUGGGCGAAAGCCUGAUCCAGCCAUGCCGCGUGUGUGAAGAAGGUCUUCGGAUUGUAAAGCACUUUAAGUUGGGAGGCGUUACCAACAGAAUAAGCACCGGCUAACUUCGUGCCAGCAGCCGCGGUAAUAC
rnacentral:rRNA from 1 species